AUGACUAUAGCCCUUGGUAGAAUUCCUAAAGAAGAAAAUGAUCUAUUUGAUACUAUGGAUGACUGGUUACGAAGGGACUGUUUUGUUUUUGUAGGAUGGUCUGGCCUAUUGCUCUUUCCUUGUGCUUAUUUCGCUUUAGGGGGUUGGUUUACAGGGACAACUUUUGUAACUUCUUGGUAUACCCAUGGAUUGGCUAGUUCCUAUUUGGAAGGUUGUAAUUUCUUAACCGCUGCAGUUUCUACCCCUGCCAAUAGUUUAGCACACUCUUUGUUGCUACUAUGGGGGCCCGAAGCACAAGGAGAUUUUACUCAUUGGUGUCAAUUAGGCGGUCUAUGGACUUUUGUAGCUCUCCACAGGGCUUUUGCACUAAUAGGUUUCAUGUUACGCCAAUUUGAACUUGCUCGGUCUGUUCAAUUGCGGCCUUAUAAUGCAAUCUCAUUCUCUGGUCCAAUUGCUGUUUUUGUUUUUGUAUUCCUUAUUUAUCCACUGGGGCAAUCUGGUUGGUUCUUUGCGCCGAGUUUUGGCGUAGCAGCGAUAUUUCGAUUCAUCCUUUUCUUUCAAGGAUUUCAUAAUUGGAUGUUGAACCCAUUUCAUAUGAUGGGAGUUGCCGGAGUAUUAGGUGCGGCUCUGCUAUGCGCUAUUCAUGGAGCGACCAUAGAAAACACGAUGAUGCAUCACUUGAAAGCGUCCAUUUCUGUGACCAAAUGUCGUUGUCGUCUCAUAUCAGAUAUGCUGAUGGAGAAUUACUCUCGUUCCAUACCGGCCUGUUGUGGAUAG
rnacentral:rRNA from 1 species